GCUUACGGCCAUAUCUCGUUGAAAGCACCGGUUCUCGUCCCAUCACCGAAGUUAAGCAACGUCGAGCCUAGUUAGUACUUAGAUGGGUGACCGCUUGGGAAACCUAGGUGCAGUAAGCG
rnacentral:rRNA from 1 species